CUUUUCUUUUAAAAUUUCUUU
rnacentral:tRNA from 2 species